UACGUAGGGGGCAAGCGUUGUCCGGAUUUAUUGGGCGUAAAGAGCGUGUAGGCGGUUUGGUAGGUCCGCUGUGAAAACUCGAGGCUCAACCUCGAGACGCCGGUGGAAACCAUCAGGCUAGAGUCCGGAAGAGGAGAGUGGAAUUCCUGGUGUAGCGGUGAAAUGCGCAGAUAUCAGGAGGAACACCGGUGGCGAAGGCGGUUCUCUGGGCAUGUCCUGACGCUGAGGAGCGAAAGUGUGGGGAGCGAACAGG
rnacentral:rRNA from 1 species